rnacentral:tRNA from 1 species
GGCUUUAUAGUCUAAGUUUAUGAUGUUAGGUUGCAAAUCUAGAGGUGUAACUAUUACUAAAGCUU